rnacentral:rRNA from 1 species
AGAGUUUGAUCCUGGCUCAGGAUGAACGCUAGCUACAGGCUUAACACAUGCAAGUCGAGGGGAAACGACAUCGAAAGCUUGCUUUUGAUGGUCGUCGACCGGCGCACGGGUGAGUAACGCGUAUCCAACCUGCCCAUCACUUGGGGGAUAACCUUGCGAAAGUAAGACUAAUACCCAAUGAUAUCUCUAGAAGACAUCUGAAAGAGAUUAAAGAUUUAUCGGUGAUGGAUGGGGAUGCGUCUGAUUAGCUUGUUGGCGGGGUAACGGCCCACCAAGGCAACGAUCAUAGGGGGUUCCGAGAGGAAGGUCCCCCACAUUGGAACUGAGACACGGUCCAAACUCCUACGGGAGGCAGCA